rnacentral:ncRNA from 1 species
UUUCAGGGAAGGUGAAAAUCCUUACUGGCGGUAACAAAAUGCGUAUCUUAUGCCUUUUUGAAGCCCGCGAGCGGCGUAAAAGCUGCUGAUUCGGUUAAAUUCCGAAGCCAACGGUUACAGUCCGGAUGAAAGAAA